rnacentral:misc_RNA from 1 species
GAUGAAGAACGUAGCGAAAUGCGAUAAGUAAUGUGAAUUGCAGAAUUCAGUGAAUCAUCGAAUCUUUGAACGCACCUUGCGCCCCUUGGUUAUUCCAAAGGGCAUGCCUGUUUGAGUAUCAUGAACACCUCAACUCUUGUGGUUUCCCACAAUGAGCUUGGACUGUGGAGGUUUUGUUGGCCCUGUGGUCAGCUCCUCUCAAAUGGAUCAGCUUACCGGCGGUUGGUGGCAUUACGGGUGUGAUAACUAUCUACGCUCGUGGUCGUCUCUAAAUAACCUCCAGUGAUGGAGGUUCGCUGGAGCUUAUAAAUGUCUCUCCCCAGUGAAGACAGCCUUUGAACGUUCGAUCUCAAAUCAGGUAGGACUACCCGCUGAACUUAAGCAUAUCAAUAAGCGGAGGA